UUUCAUGAGAGUUUGAUCCUGGCUCAGGACGAACGCUGGCGGCGUGCCUAAUACAUGCAAGUCGAGCGAACCGACGAAGUGCUUGCACUUCUGACGUUAGCGGCGGACGGGUGAGUAACACGUAAGGAACCUACCGAUAAGCGGGGGACAACAUCCGGAAACGGAUGCUAAUACCGCAUAGGAAAUGUCACCACAUGGUGACAUUUGGAAAGACGGCUUUGCUGUCACUUAUCGAUGGCCUUGCGGUGCAUUAGCUCGUUGGUGGGGUAACGGCCUACCAAGGCAAUGAUGCAUAGCCGACCUGAGAGGGUAA
rnacentral:rRNA from 1 species